rnacentral:rRNA from 1 species
CCUACGGGGGGCAGCAGCGGGGAAUAUUGCACAAUGGGCGCAAGCCUGAUGCAGCCAUGCCGCGUGUGUGAAGAAGGCCUUCGGGUUGUAAAGCACUUUCAGCGGGGAGGAAGGCGUUAAGGUUAAUAACCUUGGCGAUUGACGUUACCCGCAGAAGAAGCACCGGCUAACUCCGUGCCAGCAGCCGCGGUAAUACGGAGGGUGCAAGCGUUAAUCGGAAUUACUGGGCGUAAAGCGCACGCAGGCGGUCUGUCAAGUCGGAUGUGAAAUCCCCGGGCUCAACCUGGGAACUGCAUUCGAAACUGGCAGGCUAGAGUCUUGUAGAGGGGGGUAGAAUUCCAGGUGUAGCGGUGAAAUGCGUAGAGAUCUGGAGGAAUACCGGUGGCGAAGGCGGCCCCCUGGACAAAGACUGACGCUCAGGUGCGAAAGCGUGGGGAGCAAACAGGAUUAGAUACCCCAGUAGUC